rnacentral:lncRNA from 1 species
AAGCCAUUGGAAAUUUUCAUGUGGUCUGGACCUGUAUUAAUCCUGUCUUAAGUAAGAUGACAUCAAAAUUUGCUGUCAUCAUUACCCAGUUUUUCUUUGGGUACAUAUUAAUACAUGUGAAUCAUCUUUCAGCUUCCUUGUUGAUCGCAUCAGUGAAUACAAAUGGUUUGGAAUGCUGCAAAAUCUGCAUUCAGCCUCCUCCUCCACCACCUUUCCCGCCACCGUCUUUAAAAUGGAUAUUCAUGAUACGAAACCAAGCGAGACAGGAGGAGGUUUUGUUACAUUUGCCCUCUGCACCAAUGACUGAACAUUUCAAUGGAUGUGAAGAUCUCUAUUUAUCAGCUGUUCCUACAGCUGACACUAGAUUGCUGAGCAUUAGAGGUCCAAAGGGUGAAAAGGUACCAAUGUCAAUUUUAUGAAUGUAGUUGUACUUAUUUUCAUUUUGAACAUGAAAUA